rnacentral:rRNA from 1 species
UACAGAGGGUGCAAGCGUUAAUCGGAAUUACUGGGCGUAAAGAGCACGUAGGUGGUACUGCAAGUCAUUUGUGAAAGACCAGGGCUUAACCUUGGGGAGUCAGGUGAAACUGCAGAGCUAGAGUACAGGAGAGGGGAGUGGAAUUUCCGGUGUAGCGGUGAAAUGCGUAGAUAUCGGAAGGAACACCAGUGGCGAAGGCGGCUCUCUGGUCUGAUACUGACACUGAGGUGCGAAAGCGUGGGGAGCAAACAGG